rnacentral:rRNA from 1 species
CGGGACGGGGGAGUAAUGCUUGGGAAUCUAGCUUAUGGAGGGGGAUAACUACGGGAAACUGUAGCUAAUACCGCGUAAUAUACGAAAGAUUAAAGUGUGGGACCUUCGGGCCACAUGCCAUAGGAUGAGCCCAAGUGGGAUUAGGUAGUUGGUGAGGUAAAGGCUCACCAAGCCGACGAUCUCUAGCUGGUCUGAGAGGAUGACCAGCCACACUGGGACUGAGACACGGCCCAG